rnacentral:tRNA from 1 species
GGGUGGAGCUCAGUGGUAGAGUGUGUGCUUAGCAUGCACAAGGUCCUGGGUUCAAUCCCCAGUCCCUCCA